rnacentral:tRNA from 1 species
GGUCCCAUCGUCUAGCCCGGCCUAGGACGCGUGGUUCUCAUCCACGUAACACGGGUUCAAAUCCCGUUGGGACCG